GGAGUCUGGACCGUGUCUCAGUUCCAGUGUGGGGGACCUUCCUCUCAGAACCCCUAGACAUCGUCGGCUUGGUAGGCCGUUACCCUACCAACUACCUAAUGUCGCGCGAGCCCGUCCGUGACCACCGUAGCUUUCAACAGAAGAGGAUGCCCUCCUCUGUAUUACGGGAUAUUAGACGCCGUUUCCAGCGCUUAUCCCCCUGUCACGGGCAAGUUGCUCACGUGUUCCGCACCCUUUCGCCGGUCGCCGCCAGAGUAUUGCUACCCCGCGCUGCCCCUCGACUUGCAUGUGUUAAGCCUGCCGCUAGCGUUCAUC
rnacentral:rRNA from 1 species